CCUACGGGGUGCUGCAGUGGGGGAUAUUGGACAAUGGGGGGAACCCUGAUCCAGCGACGCCGCGUGAGUGAAGAAGUAUUUCGGUAUGUAAAGCUCUGUCAGCAGGGAAGAAAGAAAUGACGGUACCUGACCAAGAAGCUCCGGCUAACUACGUGCCAGCAGCCGCGGUAAUACGUAGGGGGCAAGCGUUAUCCGGAAUUACUGGUUGUAAAGGGUGCGUAGACGGUUAAGUAAGUCUGGGGUGAAAGGCCGGGGCUGAACCCCGGGAGUGCUCUGGAUACUAUUUGACUUGAGUGCAGGAGAGGUAAGCGGAAUGCGUGGUGUAGCGGUGAAAUGCAUAGAUAUUAGGAAGAACACCGGUGGCGAAGGCAGCUUACUGGACUGUAACUGACGUUGAGGCACGAAAGCGUGGGGAGCAAACAGGAUUAGAUACCCCGGUAGUC
rnacentral:rRNA from 1 species